rnacentral:rRNA from 1 species
UGGGGAGGGUUAGGGGGUAAUAAAUCACAAUGCGGGACUGUUAGUCUUGCAAUUGGAUUGAGAACAACGUACAACUCUUAUCGAUAAGCCAUUGGAGGGCAAGUCUGGUGCCAGCAGCCGCGGUAAUUCCAGCUCCAAUAGCGUAUAUUAACGUUGUUGCAGUUAAAAAGCUCGUAGUUGAAGUGAGGGAGUGUGUGUUCAUGAGAGCUAGUCUCGAGUGUUCACAACCUCCCCCCUCCAAUCGGUGUAGUGGGGUAUUCAGUUAUUCCACUACUCCUUUGGUCGUUUACUGUGAGAAAAUUAGAGUGUUCAAAGCGGGCGUUUGUUUGAAUAGAUUAGCAUGGAAUAAUGAUUGAAGGCUUUCGUGUUCGAUUUGAUUGGUUUGUUCAUGGAAGCAAGGUUAAAAGGAACAGUUGGGGGUAUUCAUAUCACUAGUUAGUAGGAGAUGUAUUUUC